UCUUGGUAAGUAACUCCGGUGUAGAUUUGGCCUUGUGUUUUAGGUUAUUGUCCUGAUGAAAGGUGAAUUAAUCUCCCAGUGUCUGGUGGAAAGCAGAUUGAACCAGGAUUUCCUCUAGGAUUUUGCCUGUGUUUACCUUCAUUUGUAACGAAUGUCAUCGGGAGAAGGAGAAGAGGACCAAGGUGCAGCGUGGUAGAAGGAGAAGGAGAAGAGGACCAAGGUGCAGCGUGGUAGAAGGAUAAGGAGAAGAGGACCAAGGUGCAGCGUGGUAGAAGGAGAAGGAGAAGAGGACCAAGGUGCAGCGUGGUAGAAGGAGAAGGAGAAGAGGACCAAGGUGCAGCGUGGUAGAAGGAUAAGGAGAAGAGGACCAAGGUACAGCGUGGUAGAAGGAGAAGGAGAAGAGGACCAAGGUACAGCGUGGUAGAAGGAGAAGGAGAAGAGGACCAAGGUGCAGCGUGGUAGAAGGAGAAGGAGAAGAGGACCAAGGUGCAGCGUGGUAGAAGGAUAAGGAGAAGAGGACCAAGGUGCAGCGUGGUAGAAGGAGAAGGAGAAGAGGACCAAGGUGCAGCGUGGUAGAAGGAUAAGGAGAAGAGGACCAAGGUGCAGCGUGGUAGAAGGAGAAGGAGAAGAGGACCAAGGUGCAGCGUGGUAGAAGGAGAAGGAGAAGAGGACCAAGGUGCAGCGUGGUAGAAGGAGAAGGAGAAGAGGACCAAGGUGCAGCGUGGUAGAAGGAGAAGGAGAAGAGGACCAAGGUGCAGCGUGGUAGAAGGAGAAGGAGAAGAGGACCAAGGUGCAGCGUGGUAGAAGGAGAAGGAGAAGAGGACCAAGGUGCAGCGUGGUAGAAGGAGAAGGAGAAGAGGACCAAGGUGCAGCGUGGUAGAAGGAGAAGGAGAAGAGGACCAAGGUGCAGCGUGGUAGAAGGAGAAGGAGAAGAGGACCAGGGUGCAGCGUGGUAGAAGGAGAAGGAGAAGAGGACCAAGGUGCAGAGUGGUAGAAGGAGAAGGAGAAGAGGACCAAGGUGCAGCGUGGUAAGUAUUCAUAAUCCGUUUAAUAAAUACGAACACUUGACCCAAACAACAAACGAACAGUUCUGCAAGGUGCAAUACACAAAACAGAAAACAACUACCCACAAAACACAGGUGGGAUCAAUCAGAGACAACAAUUGACGGCUGCCUCUGAUUGGGAACCAUACCAACCAUACCAUACAAACACAUAGAAAUACAACACACAGAACAAAACAUAGAAUGAAAUACAUAAAAUGCCCACCCCAACUCACGCCCUGACCAAACCAAACUAGAGACAUAAAAAAGGAACUACGGUCAGGACGUGACAUCAUUCCAUAAUUGUUUAAUCCUGAAACUCCCCAUGCCUUAACGAUUACAAGCUUACCCAUAAUGAUGCCGACACCACUAUGCUUGAAAAUAUGGAGAGUGGUACUCAGUUGAAUUUGCCCCAAACAACACUUUGUAUUCAGGACAAAAAAGUUAAUCGCUUUGCCACAUAUUUGGCAGUAUUAGUGCCUUGUUGCAAACAGGAUGCAUGUUUUGGAAUAAUUUAUUCUGUACAGGCUUCCUUCUUUUCACUCUGUCAAUUCGUUCCAGUAUUGUGGAGUAUCUACAAUGUUGUUGAUCCAUCCUCAGUUUUCUCCUAUUACAGCCAUUAAACUCUUACUGUUUUAAAUCAAUCAAUCAAACUGAUUUAUAAAGCCUUUUUUUACAUCAGCAGAUGUCAGUAUUUAUUCAGAAACCCAGCCGAAAACCCCAAACAGCAAGCACUGCAGAUGUAGAAGCACGGUGGCUAGGAAGAACUCUCAAGAAAGUCAUGAACCUAGGAAGAAACCUAGAGAGGAACCAUGU